UAUCAAGGUGCCAGCAUCUGGUGAGGGCCUCCAUGCUGUGUCAUCCCAUGGCCAAAGGUGGAAGGGCAAGAGGGCACAAGACAGCAAGGGGUUCUCUAAACCCUCCUUCCAGAGUGCCAGCCACAAGCUGCCCGCCACAUGGGGAAGAGAGGGAAAGCGGAGAGAAAAGAGGCUCUGCUUGUGCCAGCCCAGGUGCCUGUAGACCGCUUCUUGGUGGCAGGGAGCCACUGCUGUGUCACAGUGGAAGUGACAGCAGUGACAGGGACCUAGUCUGAUCCACUGGGAUGCAGAUGGAUGGUAGCAUGCUGCAUUAGAAGAGGACACAGAUGCCCCUGCAACUGGAGUCUCCCCAGUGGCUGCUGUCAGCCGGCACGCCCAGCCCCAUCUGGCUCGAGAACUGUCAAAGAUCUCCUACAUCGCACGCCAGCUGAACACGGCCUGCAGACUGAACGUACUGUCCCACACACUUGCACUGCCAUUUUUCAGAUGUCUAAAG